rfam:Salmo salar isolate Sally breed double haploid chromosome ssa29, whole genome shotgun sequence.
UGAACUCACUACUGUAAGUCGCUCUGCAUAAGAGCGUCUGUCAAAUGACGUAAA